CCUACGGGUGACUGCAGUGGGGAAUUUUGCGCAAUGCUCGUAAGAGUGACGCAGCGACGCCGCGUGAAUGACGAAGGCCUUCGGGUCGUAAAGUUCUUUCGACAGGGAAGAAAAUGCCUAUAAGUAACUGUGUAUGUAUUGACGGUACCUGUAUAAGCAGCCCUGGCUAACUUCGUGCCAGCAGCCGCGGUAAUACGGCGGGGGCGAGCGUUGUUCGGAGUGACUGGGCGUAAAGAGAGCGUAGGCGGUGUUGUAAGUCAUUAGUCAAAGACUAGAGCUCAACUGUAGUAAUGCUAUUGAUACUAUAAGGCUAGAGUAUCAGAGAGGAAUGCAGAAUUCCUGGUGUAGCGGUGAAAUGCGUAGAUAUCAGGAGGAAUACCGAUAGCGAAGGCGGCAAACUGGCUGGAAACUGACGCUGAGGUGCGAAAGCGUGGGUAGCAAACAGGAUUAGAUACCCCAGUAGUC
rnacentral:rRNA from 1 species